rnacentral:rRNA from 3 species
GGGUUGUGAGGUUAAGCGACUAAGCGUACACGGUGGAUGCCCUGGCAGUCAGAGGCGAUGAAGGACGUGCUAAUCUGCGAUAAGCGUCGGUAAGGUGAUAUGAACCGUUAUAACCGGCGAUUUCCGAAUGGGGAAACCCAGUGUGAUUCGUCACACUAUCAUUAACUGAAUCCAUAGGUUAAUGAGGCGAACCGGGGGAACUGAAACAUCUAAGUACCCCGAGGAAAAGAAAUCAACCGAGAUUCCCCCAGUAGCGGCGAGCGAACGGGGAGGAGCCCAGAGCCUGAAUCAGUGUGUGUGUUAGUGGAAGCGUCUGGAAAGGCGCGCGAUACAGGGUGACAGCCCCGUACACAAAAAUGCACAUGCUGUGAGCUCGAUGAGUAGGGCGGGACACGUGGUAUCCUGUCUGAAUAUGGGGGGACCAUCCUCCAAGGCUAAAUACUCCUGACUGACCGAUAGUGAACCAGUACCGUGAGGGAAAGGCGAAAAGAACCCCGGCGAGGGGAGUGAAAAAGAACCUGAAACCGUGUACGUACAAGCAGUGGGAGCACGCUUAGGCGUGUGACUGCGUACCUUUUGUAUAAUGGGUCAGCGACUUAUAUUCUGUAGCAAGGUUAACCGAAUAGGGGAGCCGAAGGGAAACCGAGUCUUAACUGGGCGUUAAGUUGCAGGGUAUAGACCCGAAACCCGGUGAUCUAGCCAUGGGCAGGUUGAAGGUUGGGUAACACUAACUGGAGGACCGAACCGACUAAUGUUGAAAAAUUAGCGGAUGACUUGUGGCUGGGGGUGAAAGGCCAAUCAAACCGGGAGAUAGCUGGUUCUCCCCGAAAGCUAUUUAGGUAGCGCCUCGUGAAUUCAUCUCCGGGGGUAGAGCACUGUUUCGGCAAGGGGGUCAUCCCGACUUACCAACCCGAUGCAAACUGCGAAUACCGGAGAAUGUUAUCACGGGAGACACACGGCGGGUGCUAACGUCCGUCGUGAAGAGGGAAACAACCCAGACCGCCAGCUAAGGUCCCAAAGUCAUGGUUAAGUGGGAAACGAUGUGGGAAGGCCCAGACAGCCAGGAUGUUGGCUUAGAAGCAGCCAUCAUUUAAAGAAAGCGUAAUAGCUCACUGGUCGAGUCGGCCUGCGCGGAAGAUGUAACGGGGCUAAACCAUGCACCGAAGCUGCGGCAGCGACGCUUAUGCGUUGUUGGGUAGGGGAGCGUUCUGUAAGCCUGUGAAGGUGUACUGUGAGGUAUGCUGGAGGUAUCAGAAGUGCGAAUGCUGACAUAAGUAACGAUAAAGCGGGUGAAAAGCCCGCUCGCCGGAAGACCAAGGGUUCCUGUCCAACGUUAAUCGGGGCAGGGUGAGUCGACCCCUAAGGCGAGGCCGAAAGGCGUAGUCGAUGGGAAACAGGUUAAUAUUCCUGUACUUGGUGUUACUGCGAAGGGGGGACGGAGAAGGCUAUGUUGGCCGGGCGACGGUUGUCCCGGUUUAAGCGUGUAGGCUGGUUUUCCAGGCAAAUCCGGAAAAUCAAGGCUGAGGCGUGAUGACGAGGCACUACGGUGCUGAAGCAACAAAUGCCCUGCUUCCAGGAAAAGCCUCUAAGCAUCAGGUAACAUCAAAUCGUACCCCAAACCGACACAGGUGGUCAGGUAGAGAAUACCAAGGCGCUUGAGAGAACUCGGGUGAAGGAACUAGGCAAAAUGGUGCCGUAACUUCGGGAGAAGGCACGCUGAUAUGUAGGUGAAGUCCCUCGCGGAUGGAGCUGAAAUCAGUCGAAGAUACCAGCUGGCUGCAACUGUUUAUUAAAAACACAGCACUGUGCAAACACGAAAGUGGACGUAUACGGUGUGACGCCUGCCCGGUGCCGGAAGGUUAAUUGAUGGGGUCAGCGCAAGCGAAGCUCUUGAUCGAAGCCCCGGUAAACGGCGGCCGUAACUAUAACGGUCCUAAGGUAGCGAAAUUCCUUGUCGGGUAAGUUCCGACCUGCACGAAUGGCGUAAUGAUGGCCAGGCUGUCUCCACCCGAGACUCAGUGAAAUUGAACUCGCUGUGAAGAUGCAGUGUACCCGCGGCAAGACGGAAAGACCCCGUGAACCUUUACUAUAGCUUGACACUGAACAUUGAGCCUUGAUGUGUAGGAUAGGUGGGAGGCUUUGAAGUGUGGACGCCAGUCUGCAUGGAGCCGACCUUGAAAUACCACCCUUUAAUGUUUGAUGUUCUAACGUGGACCCGUAAUCCGGGUUGCGGACAGUGUCUGGUGGGUAGUUUGACUGGGGCGGUCUCCUCCUAAAGAGUAACGGAGGAGCACGAAGGUUGGCUAAUCCUGGUCGGACAUCAGGAGGUUAGUGCAAUGGCAUAAGCCAGCUUGACUGCGAGCGUGACGGCGCGAGCAGGUGCGAAAGCAGGUCAUAGUGAUCCGGUGGUUCUGAAUGGAAGGGCCAUCGCUCAACGGAUAAAAGGUACUCCGGGGAUAACAGGCUGAUACCGCCCAAGAGUUCAUAUCGACGGCGGUGUUUGGCACCUCGAUGUCGGCUCAUCACAUCCUGGGGCUGAAGUAGGUCCCAAGGGUAUGGCUGUUCGCCAUUUAAAGUGGUACGCGAGCUGGGUUUAGAACGUCGUGAGACAGUUCGGUCCCUAUCUGCCGUGGGCGCUGGAGAACUGAGGGGGGCUGCUCCUAGUACGAGAGGACCGGAGUGGACGCAUCACUGGUGUUCGGGUUGUCAUGCCAAUGGCACUGCCCGGUAGCUAAAUGCGGAAGAGAUAAGUGCUGAAAGCAUCUAAGCACGAAACUUGCCCCGAGAUGAGUUCUCCCUGACCCUUUAAGGGUCCUGAAGGAACGUUGAAGACGACGACGUUGAUAGGCCGGGUGUGUAAGCGCAGCGAUGCGUUGAGCUAACCGGUACUAAUGAACCGUGAGGCUUAACCUUACAACGCCGAAGCUGUU